rnacentral:rRNA from 1 species
AGCGUAGGCGGAUCGGUAAGUUAGGAGUGAAAUCUACAGGCUUAACCUGUAGUUUGCUUUUAAUACUGCCUUUCUUGAGUAUGGGAGAGGAUGAUGGAAUUCCAGGUGUAGCGGUGGAAUGCGUAGAUAUCUGGAAGAACACCAGUUGCGUAGGCGGUCAUCUGGCCCAAUACUGACGCUGAGGCUCGAAAGCUAGGGGAGCAAACAGGAUUAGAUACCCUGGUAGUCCUAGCCGUAAACGAUGGACACUAGAUGUUGGGGGGUUUAUCCCUUCAGUGUCGUAGCUAACGUGUUAAGUGUCCCGCCUGGGGAGUACGCUCGCAAGGGUGAA